rnacentral:lncRNA from 1 species
UGCCAGGGGGCACAGUGUGGCUUUAGCUAGAUUCUUUGAACUUGGAGUCAAACCUGAGGCUCUGACCCCUUGUAGCCGCUGGCCCUCCCUUGACCCCUUUGGAUGAGUGAGGGGGCUCAGCUGGACCCUAUGACCUUGCUUCACAUUGGGAGAGGAAACGUGAGGUGGAGGAAAAUGAUCCCUGUGACGAUGUUGAAAACAGAGCCUGCUCAGCCUUAAUAAACCAGAGCUGCUGCGAGGCACCAGCGCUUCAGUUGGGUCAAACCAAAGUUUCCUGCUCUUCUCAUAAAGAUGGCGUCUUGCUCUGUCACCCAGGCUGGAGUGCAGUGGUGCGAUCUCGGCUCACUGCAACCUCUGCCCUUCUGGUUCAAGCAAUUCUCCCUGCCUCAGCCUGAGGUUUCUCCAGGACGUCACCUGUAUGAGGUACACAGUGUGAUGACACACUCUGUGCUUUUCCUACUUGUGUCCACGGCUCAAGCCUGGAAGAAGCCUUAGGACGUGGGGGAAAUGUCUAACGUGGAGUCCACCUGCUGAGCAGGACCGGGUGUGAAGGAAGAAGCUUUGUUCUGAUUCCUCAUGGCCCAGCCACCCCUCGCCUGAGCUGAGCCUGGCCACAGGGCCCGCCUGCAGGAAGGGCUGGCCCAUGGCUUCACACUGGGCUCAGGCUGCGCUAAGAGCCCCGGGUGAGGACCUCCAAGCCCAGGAAGCCUCAGUUGGCCAAAGUGCUAGAUGCGUGUGGUCUGCUUUCAUCCCCGCUUCCCUCAGAGCUUGCAUUUUCCAAAUUCAAGAGAGGCUCCACCUUCAAGAAGACCGGCCUGUCCCUGUUAUUUAUGUGUCCCCCUACCAUAUCUCCCUUUGUUCUGCAGAGCGGUACGCAUAAAAAGCUUUUGGGGAAGGGGAGAAGUGUGGCUCAGUGACUUGCACAGGAAAUUGGAAAUUGGAUCCCCAGGUCUACCCCCACUCCUCUGACUCAUGCUUAAACAAACCCAACACAUGCCCUGACCUUUGCUCUCUCCCUCUAUUGCAGGCCAUACCUGCCAGCAGCCUGCUCUCCCGGCCAUGCUGCGGUUCACAAAAGUCCAGCAUUUGGCUAGCUUCCUGGGGGAAUGAAUCUUUCAGAGCCAAACUAAUGCUAUGCAUGCAGCUUAUGAUUUUUUUUUU